CACUGUCAGAGUGACUCAUCAUUGUUGAUGUCACCCUUAGUCUUCUACCUAGGCAGCAUCUGUCAGUUUUUCCAUGGUUAGGUUUACUCCCACAUCCCUCUUUGGAAGCACAGCCCACAGCCAAUGUUUAAGAUGGCUUGUCCCUCAUCACUAAAUUUGGCUGCCUGAGCAUUCAGACAUCUCAAAUAUUAUCCUCAUUAACUGUUCUUCAUUUUUGUCUCCCUCUGCUUCUAGUGGCCAUGUUGCUUAAAUUCCUUGGCUUCCUCCAACCUCAAAGUGCAUCUUCCAAGCUUGGCAUGAUUGCAUAAGCCUAUAGGCCCAGCUACUCAGGAAGCUGAGAAAGACAUCUUGAGCCUAAGAGUUUGGGCCAGCCAAGGAACAUAGUAAAACACCAUUUCAAAAAAGAAAAAAAUCCAACAAAAUAAACAUAGAGC
rnacentral:lncRNA from 1 species